AUUCUAGCUCAAUUCUGAAGGCAGAGCAGAAAGGCCACCAGUCUCAGUGCCUCACUGAGGGAAGACCAAGGCCCGCCUUGGGGUCUGAUCAAAAGCUCCUGGGAGUUCCGCAGGCUUCAGGGGACAGCUGGGACUAAGGCAGAGCUGGUGGACACAGACUUGCAUUUGGCCAAAAGCGACCAUCAUUCCCAAAUAUAUCAGUGAGAGCCCCAUCCUCUCACGGAGAAAGGAAGCACCACCCAGAGCCUUCCCCCAAACUGAGGAGGUGGGUACAGAGUUAAGACAACCAAGGCAACCAUUUGACAGACGGGCUAACUGGGCCCCAGGUAAGUCAGUCCUUUGCCUAAGAACAUGUUGGGUUUCAAGUGGCAGAGUUAGGAGUAAAUCCGGAUUUCUGCCUCUAAAACUGGGUAUUAUACCUGCAUUAAGGAAUCAAAGUUAAUACUGACAGCAGUGGUAUUAACUGCUGAUGAAACCCCAUCUCUACAAAAAAUAGAAAAA